UAUAAAAAUAAUAUUUUAAUAAUAAAAAUAAUAAGAAAUUUUAAGUAUAAAAAUAAAGUACAGUAAUGGAAAAUAAUUUUUAACAUUGAAAAGUAAAAAUAU
rnacentral:rRNA from 1 species